AGCACUUAAAAUUUUAAAUAAUUAAAUAUUCCCCAUUAGAAUUAGAAUAAUGAAAAUUGUUUAUCUUGAACAAUAUAAAAAAUUAGCCAACAAGCAAGGAAUAUAAAUUGAUCUCCAAUAGGGGCUGAUGAGAUCAAAUAACAAACAAAAUUAUAUACGUAUUGCUUGCAUCUCAAAUGGCAUGCCAUGAGAUCAAACCUAAAAGCAUGACAAUUUAUAGCCCUACUGCACAUGCACCCCAAAGCAAGAGAGAAGAGAAAUAUGUGUAUCAGUACUACUGCCUAAAAAAUAAAUAAAUUGUGUGAAGUAUAUAUUUUUGUACUUUAACCUAUGGACAUAACAAAAGCAUUCAGAAUCUACAGCAAAGAAGGCCCUGCCUCCAAUUCCUAUGUUUCCGGAAAUGUCUACGGUCAGCUUUCACCAUUCUUACAGGACUGUUAUUCCAUUCCGACUGCAAUCUGUGCCAAACAAUUAGCAAAAUCAGAUUAUUAGUAUGGAUUCAAAAUGGGGCAGAUAAAGAAUGAGAAAUGACUAGCUUGACAAUUAUUUUACAUGGGGAAUGCAAAGGAGCAGGCGCUCGUUGUGCUGCUAUCGGAUCUAAGAGAGACACUGCCAGAAUUUGCAAUUGGCCCUGAAUAGCUUAUCAGACCUAAUAGAGGACCUGAAGCAGAGAAAUUUGUCUCCUCAAGACUGUACUGAAGUUGACUUGAAAAUGGCUCCAUGUUAGUCCCCUCCAACCUGGAUGAGCACGACUCAAUAUGUUCAGAGCCACCAUUCUGAGAAUCCUUCUCUCCUCCACUUGCUGCUAGUGUAGAAGAGUGAGAGUUAAAACUUGUACAUUUAGUCUCCACCCUAUUGUUGUCGGAUGAUUCAUCUCCAAUUGUACUGGUUGAUUCAGGCACAGAACCCCCUUCCCCAUCAUGGGUUGAUUCGGGCACAAAAUCCCCAUAAGGGCUUGCCAUUUUAUUGUCUCUGCUGCCAUUUUCUAAUCCCUCAGUUAUAGAUUUCAUAGCAGUACUUGCUAAUACUGUUUCGUCUGCUUUAGUUGCAGAAUCCAGGGCAAGGGUUCCAGAGACAGCUUCAUGAUGGCCAGAAUAUAAUUCUUCAGCCACGUGUACAACAGGAUUCACCAAGAAUGCCUGCUCAUUGCCAUUUUCAGUUUCUUCACAGGCAGAAGCCAUUGCUAUGAUUGUGUUUUCACUUGGCCUCUGAAUAGACUGUCGUUCAGCUUUAUCAACAUUGUUAUGAGAAGACCCGGGUUGUGAAAGCUCCAUGUCCACUUCGGGCAUUGAAAGCAAUUCUCCAAGUGAAAAAAUCGCUUUGAGUGUAACAUUUGCAAUUUCAUCCAUUGAGUUAACGUCUGCUUCCUCUAUUGGCAUCAACUUCUUGGAAUCGCAUCCAAGAUAAAAUUCAUUUUUAGAUCCCUUUUCUUCUGAAGAUAUUAGAACAUCAGGAAUAGGCAAACAAAGUGCUGAUUUCCCUUUUUCUGACGAAGGUUUCAGAAUGUCUGGUAUACAAGUAUCUAGAUCAACUUUUUCUUUUGCUAUCUCACUAUUUAUGUCCUCAAUAGGCAGAAUUAUGCGCAAAUUCUCCUCACUAACACCUGGGUCAAACAAGAACCUGUCCCCGAAAGGGACUCCCUCAUCAACGCAGAUGUCCUUAACAACAUGGCAAAUAUUCUCCUUGUAACAAACUACCAACUCCGGCAGUUUAGAUUCCAUAACACUUUUGCCUACAUAGAAAACUGGGUCCUGCUCAAAUGAUUCAAUUUUCAGUGAAGAAUGAAUCGAUGGCAUUGGUGGGACAAAGUCUCCUACUUCUUUCUCAUCAUCACUUUUUGAAUCAUCCACAAUGAUAGAAGAAUCAAGUUUUGAAGCAGCCCAACCACCUUCACCAUUGAAUGCAUAUUUUAAUUGAUCUGUAUUGCCUUCCUUGCCAUUCAUACAACUGAAGACCCCAUGCUGAUCUCCAUUCACAAUCCCAUUUCCAGACUUGAGUCCAGUUGAGUCCAAAGCAACAUUGUUGCAUCCAAAAAGUUUGGAGUCAGACUUAUGGUCGAUAGUUCUAUGGCAAAAUACCUGAUUACCAUCGAGUUCCAUGUUCACAUAGAUUGCAUAAGAUGCAAGAUUGUCUAGUUCUUCGAGCUACCUAUAGUGAUAUCUUCAAGCACAACACUGGAAAAUGUAACCUAACCUGCCCAUUAAAAUUAGGCAUCAAGCAAAACUGUAUAAAACCGCUCUGCAUAUGAGACAAAGUCAUUGUAAAGAUACUCAGGAUAAAAGAUAUUAUAAGAAAAUUUUAAUUUAAUUAAGCAAAUAAUGAGAAAUAUAUAAAGAACUUUCCACAGAUAAUCUGAUAACGCGUAACUGAACCAGGUUUAGUCUGUGAUCAAUACAAACUAAAUUGUUCACAAUUGAGGGAGAAGAAAACUUUAACACACUAUUGAAACAACGUCAAGCAAGUUUUCAACAAAAAGUCUUCAUCCAAAAAAAUACUUUUACAGGUACUAUCAAUUUGGGGCAGCGCAAAAUCUAAAAAAUAACAAAUCAAAAAUAUCCAGGUAAAAUACAGAACC
rnacentral:misc_RNA from 1 species